GUCCUGUCCAGAUGUGUGCUAUUCAGAUCUGUCCUCUACAGAGGACUGCUGUACAGAUGUGUGCAUGCCUUCCCCACGUGUGUGCUUCUGACCUAAUGUCGUAUGCGUGGGAGCCCCCUGUGUGAUAUCCCAUGCAUGUAGGUGCUUAUGUGCCCAUGGGCAUGUCUCGUCCGGGGCUUGGUUUACAUGUGAGUCAGGCAUGACAGCACACAUUCGUGAGGAAGGACAGGGCUCUAGAGACGGUGCAGUCAAAGCCAGCUGCCCCCACCCCCAGGCCCCCGAUAUCGAGUGCUCAUGUGUGGUGUGGCAGUGGCAUGUGACGUGGUAUGUCUGUGUGUGGGAGCUGCGUGUGUGGGUGCCCCGUGGGCAUGGGUGUGACUCCCGGGAUGGCUGGGUCAGCCUCUGUGUGUGUGUCCGUGGCUGCCCCUCCUGUGCCCUGCUGGUGCUGUGCCGCUAGGUCCCUGCACCCCGGGUCCUGGCGGGGGCAGGGCUGUGCCGGGAAGGCGGCUCCUGAGAGGGGGUUGCCGCCUGCUCUUCAUGAGGUCAGAGAAUGUCAAAUCUAUUUUAAGUGGUGAAACUGGAGAAUUCUCAUGUUAUUUUCAAUACAUAGUGUUACCUAAAGACAUAGGCCAUGAGACUAGACCACAUUAAAUGCAUUUUGAUCUCUUUGA